GCAGUGCACUAUCAUAGAGCAAUGUGCAUGACAGGACAGAACGAGCAGAGCUGAGAGCAGGGCAAAGGGAAAACAUCAACGAGAGGGGAGGUUGUAAUAACGCUAAUUAAGCAUCCAAUCUCUGUAUUCGUAAUAUUUGCAUCAUGGAUGUAUAAUUCCUUUAUUUUCGCUAAACAUCGUAUCUUGCACCAUUCAACAACUCGGGACAUUUUGUUCCUCAUUUUGUUCCUUUAACAGAACACUGGUGCCCAUCAACAGCCUAGGAGAGACAGAGAGUGCCAUUGUAUCGCGCGCAGGAACUGAGCUAAAGCCGACAUCAUGGCGUGGCCCUGCAUCACCAGGGCGUGUUGUAUGGCCCGCUUCUGGAACCAGCUGGACAAGGGGGACAUUUCGGUGCCAUUGGUUUUCACCAGAUACGACGUCUCGGAGAUGCAGCAUCUUCAACUGCAGCACCAACAAAAACAGCCGCAUCACCAGGCACAGGCAAGCGCGGUCGCCAUAGAAACUCUACCCGCUCACGAGGACAAGGCGGUAGCGGCUUGUGAGCACCCCGCAACGGGAACCGCUGUGUCUGAGGAGCGCGCAUGUGGUUCUGUAAUGCGCCAAGACUUUAAGCACUGGAAAGUGCGCCCUGAGCCAAGCUGUAAACCUAAGAAUGAAUAUCACACUCCCGAGACCCCUUUUAACAACAAGACACAAUAUCAGAAGGAUUUCAAGCCAUGGCCCAUUCCGAAAAGGGACGACCAUCCUUGGAUUGCCAGGCCCAAUCCCUCCAUCUCCAUCGGCGGUGACUGUGUCCAGGAUAGGUCCAAACACUACCAUGCACACGCGGAAGUUGACAGUGGGGUUGAGAAAAGCGAAAUUGCUGACAAAGUGCAAGAGAAAGAAAUUAUGGGAGGCAGUAAAAAUAAUCCAACUGCAGAGAAGGAUGGUGAAAAGAAAGUUAGCAUCAAAGUGGAGCGAGAAGACGCGGCAGGGGCCAGAAGCAGGGCGGCGUUAGAUGCGCUAAACAGGCAGUUAAAACAGGAAGUUACAAUUGGCAGCUCAUACAAGACUGAGUUCAAGGCCCACAGGGAUGUGAAGCCAGUGAAGCUGAUCCGAGCCAAGUCCCAGUUCCUUCCCCCUGAUGAGAAGACCAGCCUGGAGACCAGCUAUAGUGCCACCUACAGGGGAGAGCAGGCCAAGAAGCAGCCCAAUGACAACAAGGCUGUGGACAGGAGGAGGAUACGCAGCCUGUACAAUGAGCCCUACAAAGGGCUACAAGAGACCAAGGUUGAGAGGUCUAACAGUGCUCCCCGAUCCAAACCCAAAAAGGCGGGCACCAGGUUAGCGAGCCAAGGGGACAAACCUGUGAAAAAGGCAAAAGAGCAGAAGCUGCAGGGCAGCACAGCACUGCGGGGCACCAAGAAGAAGACAUUGGAGAACCAGCCCACUGAGUCCAGGCCUGCGGAGAUGGACAAGGAGAAAAGUAAAGAGAUGAACAACAAACUGGCUGAGGCAAAAGAGUAAAAAUCAUCACUUCUACCUUUUAUUCUUCUUUGAGGGAAAGAACACAAAGGCUGCAUAAUUAGAGGUUCUCAUCCCCUUUUUAAGUUUUGUCUCUCUUUUCUAUCUCUCCUCUUUCUGCUCUUUCUCUCUUUCACUCUCUUCUCUAAGUUAGUAGUAGUUACAGUAAAUGUCAGAGUUGGGACAUGACAUGUCGUUUCUUCCCUGCCUCACAUUACAUUAGAUCACCGUACUAACGAGGGGAUGUGUGCAUCCGCUUCCUCUGCUUCCUGAUGCCAUCGACCACCCCCCUCUCUCCGUCUCCAUCUCAAGGUUGCCAUGGCUACCAAUGAACGGCGUGUGCUAUUGUUGCAUGAGCUCACCGACUAGCAAUCCUGUGUGGUUGGCUUCCAUCUUCCAACUGAACAGAUUGCUUUGUUGAGUUUAUCAAGGAUUUUUGGCAAAGAGAAAACCAUGUAAAUUGGCUCACUGAAUGGACUUGAUCUUUAUAGCUGUAACGUGCUAAACGUAUCCAAAGAUAGAUACUCAUCUAGAAUUAUGGUCUGAAAAUCUUUGAUAAAUGUGCAGCUUGGUAUUUCUAGAGUGUAUUGGUCCGUGGCUGAGUGUGUGCCUGCUCUGUAGGUCCUGAAUGCUGUCUUCCAGUGCACACGGGCCUCCAAGUCUGUCUAUAAUCAGAUUGCCAUUACUAAGAUGCUUUGUUAAACUUUGCCAUCAUUCCUGAAUGAAAUCUUAUUUUGUAAACCUAAUAACUGUUGAUUGUGGAUGAUGUGGGAAUGGUUUUGAGCAAUGAAUUGUCAGGUAAACAUUUAAAACCUCAUACUGUCUCAUUCAAAGUGUUCUCUCUAUUCACAGGAAAAUGAGUUAAUCAAGUUAUUUUAAAGGUCAGACAAGGAUAUCUUAUUUCAUCAACCUUGUUGCCAAACCAGGAGCCAUCUGGGUUACAGUAACAUGAUGAUGCAUUACUAGACCAGUUAUUUGCACAGCAGAUAAAUAAAAUGUUACUAUCAUGAAAUUAUAAUUACAUUAGCCAUUUACAUAACUACAUUACAUGCCACUGAGUCACGAUAGGAAAUUGAUAUUGUGGCUCUGUGGUCGUUAGCUAUGCUUUCACCCAGACCAUGCAGACUCUGUAUAGAUAAAGCUCAGUGGAGUACCAGGAUCACUUUCUAAUCCUACAUAGAGCAGCCUAACCUAUAACCUCACACACCCCCGCCUACAGCCCCUCCCCUCCUCUCAGACACACACACACAGAGCCAUGGUGGACUGUAACUGACGUGAUUAGGCCCCCAUGGGACUAGCAGAUGGGACCCCAGCAACACUAUCACAUCCCAGAGGUCUAAAGAGGUGCCUGGCUGGAUGUGAUAUUAGUCCACACUAGUAGGAGCAGACUCAUGGUUAAGGUUUUGGAAUUAUAUGUUAUUUAUGUUUUAUUUAUGAAUCUAUUUGUUUGUGUAUGAAACACUGAUUACAACCUAUGCUAAUACCUCUCUUUAUUGAAUAAUAAUGCGACUGUGAUGUGAUGGUAAGUUGAAUGCUGGCUGUUUGGAAUGCUUCUUUUUCUCAAAUUAUUAUCUGUGUGUGUCUGUCUAACACAGGCCUCAAAGAACUGGCCUCUUCCACAACCAGGUGUGUGUUUAAGUGUGUGUGUCUGUCUAACACAGGCCUCAAAGAACUGGCCUCUUCCACAACCAGGUGUGUGUUUAAGUGUGUGUGUCUGUCUAACACAGGCCUCAAAGAACUGGCCUCUUCCACAACCAGGUGUGUGUUUAAGUGUGUGUGUCUGUCUAACACAGGCCUCAAAGAACUGGCCUCUUCCACAACCAGGUGUGUGUUUAAGUGUGUGGAUUUGAUUAGGUUGACAAGAUUACGUGUAGAUGUCAAGAUUAUAUUCAACACAUUCAACUUCAAAUCAAUCUCUCUCUGCUGCCUUCCAUGGCAAUCUAAAUAUUGUAGGCAUAGGCUAACAAUGUAGAGCAACUUGAUAUUUCUCCCCUGUGAUUUCAUUGAAUUAGGAUAAGCAGCGAAACUCGAUUCUAUAUUUGGAUUACAUUUGUGUUAUACUUCUGCAUAUGUUUGCAGUUUCUUGAAUGGGAUAAAAAUGAGUGAGAAAGGAAAAUGAUCUGUUUUACAAAUGAAAACCGAAUGAUGUCAAAAUGAAUCAAGUUAGACUUGUCCCCUUUGUAUUGGCUGUAUAGUGCCUUUGUAUUGGCUGUAUAGUGCCAGUGUAUUGGCUGUAUAGUGCCAGUGUAUUGGCUGUAUAGUGCCUUUGUAUUGGCUGUAUAGUGCCUUUGUAUUGGCUGUAUAGUGCCAGUGUAUUGGCUGUAUAGUGCCAGUGUAUUGGCUGUAUAGUGCCUUUGUAUUGGCUGUAUAGUGCCAGUGUAUUGGCUGUAUAGUGCCAGUGUAUUGGCUGUAUAGUGCCUUUGUAUUGGCUGUAUAGUGCCUUUGUAUUGGCUGUAUAGUGCCAGUGUAUUGGCUGUAUAGUGCCAGUGUAUUGGCUGUAUAGUGCCUUUGUAUUGGCUGUAUAGUGCCAGUGUAUUGGCUGUAUAGUGCCAGUGUAUUGGCUGUAUAGUGCCAGUGUAUUGGCUGUAUAGUGCCAGUGUAUUGGCUGUAUAGUGCCAGUGUAUUGGCUGUAUAGUGCCUUUGUAUUGGCUGUAUAGUGCCAGUGUAUUGGCUGUAUAGUGCCAGUGUAUUGGCUGUAUAGUGCCAGUGUAUUGGCUGUAUAGUGCCUUUGUAUUGGCUGUAUAGUGCCAGUGUAUUGGCUGUAUAGUGCCAGUGUAUUGGCUGUAUAGUGCCAGUGUAUUGGCUGUAUAGUGCCAGUGUAUUGGCUGUAUAGUGCCAGUGUAUUGGCUGUAUAGUGCCUUUGUAUUGGCUGUAUAGUGCCUUUGUAUUGGCUGUAUAGUGCCAGUGUAUUGGCUGUAUAGUGCCUUUGUAUUGGCUGUAUAGUGCCUUUGUAUUGGCUGUAUAGUGCCUUUGUAUUGGCUGUAUAGUGCCUUUGUAUUGGCUGUAUAGUGCCAGUGUAUUGGCUGUAUAGUGCCAGUGUAUUGGCUGUAUAGUGCCUUUGUAUUGGCUGUAUAGUGCCAGUGUAUUGGCUGUAUAGUGCCAGUGUAUUGGCUGUAUAGUGCCUUUGUAUUGGCUGUAUAGUGCCAGUGUAUUGGCUGUAUAGUGCCUUUGUAUUGGCUGUAUAGUGCCAGUGGAGCUCUAUUUGCUGUAAGUAAUAGCAUGUUACUAGAAAAGACCAGAACAGCGUCUCAGACUCCUGGGAUAGGAUAGGCCUCAACAGAGCAGUGCGUUGUGCAGCACUUGUCUUGUCAUGGGUCAACCCCCACCUCCUCACACUCCCCAGUCUCUUUCUUGUGUUGUUGUAAUCUAUUGUGCUAGUCAGUGUCCCCUGACUCCCUCCCUCCCCUCAGUUUUGAGUAAUGGAGUGUGUUGUCUCUCCAUUUGCCAUGGUGGUGUCUUGGUUAGUAUGUCACAAUGAAUCACCACACCGUAUUCCACUCAGACUGAGCAUGCGCCCACGGAGCAGAGAGCGAGGGCCAUCUUAUUAGCAUUUUGCAGCCUUUGGUUGGGGAAGGGGGAUGCUUUCUCUCGUAACACAUGAAGGGGGAUGCUUUCUCUCGUAACACAGGAAGGGGGAUGCUUUCUCUCGUAACACAGGAAGGGGGAUGCUUUCUCUCGUAACACAGGAAGGGGGAUGCUUUCUCUCGUAACACAGGAAGGGGGAUGCUUUCUCUCGUAACACAGGAAGGGGGAUGCUUUCUCUCGUAACACAGGAAGGGGGAUGCUUUCUCUCGUAACACAGGAAGGGGGGGUCGGGGGGUCUUACAUGUAAAGUGCUGACACAACCCACCCAGUGAUAUCGAUUUUGAAUCCAAGCAUUAGAAACAAAAGCUACAAAUUUAAAGUAAUAAUGGAACAAAGAAGUGUUAGGCCAAUAUAUUUUACUGUGAAGUGCUUGUGUUUCUCUCUGCUUGCUCCUAUUUACUGAAAUAUGAAUAAAUGCAAAAGCAGAAAAAGCAGUGUCCUCUUGGUUCUUUGUGUUGAAACGUAUGGAGGACGGUGAAAGAACAGCGGUUGCAGGUAC